rnacentral:misc_RNA from 1 species
UUUCCGUAGGUGAACCUGCGGAAGGAUCAUUACAGAGUGAGGGUCUCUCAGGCCCGACCUACCACCCUGUGUUUUUGUGGCCUUGUUGCUUUGGCGGGUCCGCCCCGAUGAGAGGCCGCCGGACGCCCACCGCUUUGGGCACGUGCCCGCCAGUAGCCCCCUUAAAUUCCUAAUAAAACUGUCGUCCGAGUAUAGAUAUAAUAAAAAAAACUUUCAACAACGGGUCUCCUGGUUCUGUGAUCGAUGAAGAAGGCCGCAGAACGGAAGAGCAAACGUCUA